rnacentral:misc_RNA from 1 species
GAAUACUUGAACAUUGAUUGUUUUAUCUGUUUCACGUAGAUGGCGUGCCGGUGGUGUUUCCAUGCACCGUAUUAUAGAGCGAGUAUUUGUCGAUGAAAUAAAGAAUAAUUUGUGCUGUGUUAUUUUUAUUUUUAAUUAAUAUAUCUUGCUAUCUUUUUCAUUAUGACCAGUUCUGUCAGUACAAAUCCAUCAACUCUAUUACCUUUAGAAUUGGUCGACAAAUGUAUUGGUUCUCGGAUACAUAUUAUUAUGAAAAAUGAUAAAGAAAUUGUCGGCACUUUGUUAGGCUUUGACGAUUUCGUAAAUAUGUUACUCGAAGAUGUGACAGAAAGCGAAGCAACACCGGAAGGAAGAAGAGUCACCAAACUUGAUCAAAUAUUACUUAAUGGAAGCAAUAUCACAAUGCUUGUACCUGGUGGAGAAAUGCCUGAUACGUAAAAGAUGAUUUCUUUUGUUAUGUAUUAUAUAAUCAAAAUUUGAUCAUUAAUUCAUACGUAUCUACUAUAGAACAAUAAAAAUUUCUAUUAAAUAAGGAUAAUAAUUGAAAUAAACAUUAAGAAGAAAUUAAUGUAUCAAUUUUAGUUAUUACUUCAUUGGUUGUGGGCCUUUCGGUAGUAUUUUGUGACCACAUUUGUUUAUAUAAUGUUUUAUAAGUACCUUUAAAUUCAUCAUCAAUAUUAUCAUCUGUAGGGCGAUGCCCUUUUGCAGAAAGGAGUUGGUCUAUUUUGUUUUAUAACUUCUGGAGCAGUAUAUCCUGGUGUGCCCUAAGAAA